rnacentral:rRNA from 1 species
AUUGAACGCUGGCGGCAGGCCUAACACAUGCAAGUCGAACGAGCGGCGGACGGGUGAGUAAUGUAUGGGUAUCUGCCCGAUAGAGGGGGAUAACUACUGGAAACGGUAGCUAAUACCGCAUACUAUCGGAUGAACCCAGAUGGGAUUAGCUAGUUGGUGGGGUAACGGUGCACCUAGGCGACGAUCUCUAUCUGGUCUGAGAGGAUGAUCAGCCACACUGGAACUGAGACACGGCCCAGACUCCUACGGGAGGCAGCAGUGGGGAAUAUUGCACAAUGGGCGCAAGCCUGAUGCAGCCAUGCCGCGUGUAUGAAGAAGGCCUUAGGGUUGUAAAGUACUUUCAGCGGGGAGGCGUUACCCGCAGAAGAAGCACCGGCUAACUCCGUGCCAGCAGCCGCGGUAAUUC